GAUUUAUCAGACCUGUUGGCUUCACCAAGAGUGAGAGGGAUCCGAGAGGAGAAUGGACCAUACUGGAAUAUUUUAUUCAAAAGAGCUGAGUGAUAGGGUCUUACGAGAGAUUUCAAAUUGGCUUGAUCGGGAGUGGAGAGAUCUUGCUUUUUGCUUGGGCUUUAACAGCCCCGAGAGCUACGUCUUCCAGAAGAGCAGUCGAAGCCUUACCUUAGAUAUGCUAAUCAAAUGGAGAGAGCGGCAGCCAUUUGGCGUUGAUCAGUCAAGAAAUCUGGCAAAGGCACUAAACAUGAUCGGCAGACUUGACCUUGCUUCUCAUCUGAAAGGUUGGCAAGAAAUGGAUAAAUGGGAUAUUGUCAUCGGACCAAAGACUCGAGCUUUACGGGAGGAAGUUUUGAUGGAGACAGCGAAAAAACUUGGUGCUGAAUGGGAGGAACUAGCUACUUCCCUCGGCUUCAGCAGCGAAGAAAUAGCCAGCAUGGGGGAAGGCGAACCCAGUGAAGUAUCAUUCCUCAUGCUUCAGAAGUGGAAUUCCCGCCAAAGCAAAAAUGUGAAUCAGUUGGGAAAGCUAUGCGAUGCACUGGCAAAUAUCGGCAGAGCUGACUUAAUAUCUCCGCUGCUACAUCAUACAGAGUUCCAACAGGAUUCGUUGAUCUGGAUAUCUGAAAAACUUGAACGUGAGUGGGAGAAACUGGCUCUCAUGCUUGGCUUCAGCGCGAUAGAAAUCUUUUCAAUCUCUAAAGACUUUAUCUGCAACCCCGUACGUCACUGCUUUGUCAUGCUCUGGGAAUGGAAACAGCGCGUAGACAUGACUGAAGAUCAGCUUGGACAUCUGAGUGACGCACUGAUAGAUAUUAACAGAGACGAUCUCCUUCUUGGUUUGCAACAUUAUCGAGUGUUCGGAGAAAAUAAGUGGCAUGACAUUGCCAGCUUUAUCGGUGAGGAUGACUGGGUUCAGUUAGCUGGUGCCCUCGGCCUCAGCUCAGAAGAAAUCGACACCAUCAAGGCAGAUACCCCUGGUGACUGGAAACAUCAAUGCUGCAGCAUGCUUGAAAAAUGGAAUCAUCUCCAAGGCACUAAUGAAGAUCAGUGCAUAGAAAAGCUAUGUGCUGCAUUGACAGAUAUCGGUAGAAAGGGACUAGCAAUACUACUGCAGCAGCAUUAUCAAGACAGAGCACGAACUAAGGGAAGCAGUCAAAAGACCGGAGUGACACUUAAUGCAGGAUUUAAUGCCAUUGCUCGACGCCUCGAUCGUGUUGAGUGGAAGAAGCUGGCCCUUGUCCUUGGGCUUAGCAAAGAAGAUGUUUUCCUCAUAAACGAACUCUACAGUCAAGAAUUGCUGGGUUCACCUAUCCGCCCUCAAGUAAGAAACGUCGGUUGUGACGGAUGGAAUACCACAUGCUACAGCAUGCUCUUGAUAUGGAAACGCCGCCAAAGCGUUGGUGGAGAGGAGAUCCAAGAAAAGUUGGGAGACGCAUUGAAUGAAAUCGGCAAACAUCAUUUGGCAAUUUUAAUUCGGCUUCGUCCAGUUCUGAUUAAUGAUGACGUUCUGCUCGAGGUGGUGAGAAGACUCGGUCCGGGCUGGAAGGAAUUGACCACUUCUUUAGGAAUCAGCUGCGAAGAAUUAACCACCAUGGAGGAAGUUCAGCCUAGUGAUCAAGCCUUCCGAAUGCUUCAGAAAUGGAAUUGUCAGCAAGGCCAGAAUAAAGAUCACUUUGCAAAGCUGUGCGACGCUUUAUCAAAUAUUGACAGAGCUGAUCUCAUCACUCCACUGCUACAUUAUGCAGAACUUCACCAGGAGGUGUUCGACUGGAUAUCUCAAGAAUGUGGACCCAAGUGGAAAAGGCUGGCUCUCAUGCUCGGUUUCAGUGCGUUAGAAAUCAAUAAGAUCAUGAAAGAAAACCCCGGCAACGACACAGCUCACUCCUUAGUUAUGCUAAAGAAAUUGAAACAACGCGUAGAUAUGACCAAAGAUCAGCUUGGACUUCUGUGCAAUGCACUGACAGACGUUGGCCAGGAGGAACUGGUGGGUCAGCUGCAACAUUAUCGAGUGGUCAGUGAAGACAAGUGGACUGACAUUGCCAGAUUUAUCGGAGAGAAUGACUGGGUGAAGUUAGCUGAUGUCCUUGGCUUCAGCUUAGAAGAAAUCGACACCAUCCAGACAGAUACCCCCGAUAACUGGAAAGACCAAUGCUGCAGCAUGCUUGAAAAAUGGGAUCAUCGCCAAGGCAUGAAUGAAGAUCGGUGCAUCGAAAAUCUGUGUGCUGCACUGACAGAUAUUGGUAGAAAGGGCCUGGCAAUACUACUGCAGCAGCAUUAUCAAGAUGCUGGACAAACCACGAAGAGGAAUCAAAAAGCAGGAAUGACGCUUGAUGAAGAAUUGGUUGUCAUUGCUGGAGAAAUCGGAUUUGGCUACUGGGAGAAGUUGGCCAUUUACCUUGGGCUUAGCAGGGAAGAUGUUGGCCUCAUCAAGGGACUCCGUAGUGGAAAACAUUCCCUUCCCUACAGACUUCCAUGGUCAUGUUCUCUGAGCGAGUGGCAAUUGCUGUGUCCAGACGAGUUCCAAUACGAAAAGCCAUUUCACCGACAAUUGUGCGAUCCUUGCUGCAGGAUGCUGCUUAUAUGGAAGCAUCGCCAAGGCGUCAGUGAACAGGAUAUCCUGGGAAAGCUGUGUGACGCAUUAAGCAACCUAGGCAAAAAGGAUUUAGUACGUCAGCUGCGUCAUCGUUAUGGAAUAUUAGAGACACAUCGACCUCAGGUACCGGAAUCAGUAGUACCAAGUGAUGAAGAAAUGCUGCUCAGUGGUUGUGCCAAAGAUAUGUUGUCUGAGAGUAACUCGCCGAAACCGCCAUCCCGCCUUCAAAUGAUACUUGAUGAAUAUCAUUCACAAAUACAUGACCUCAGUGAUGAGGUACGUCUUGACACGAGCUUUCAACUACCCGACAUUGCCAUUGGCUACUUCAACGAGAGCGGUGGAAGCUUGUCCGUAGAUGACUACGACGUGCAACUCACUAUCCCGCCUGGCGCGAUACUUCCAGGCUUCUGUCAGGAAGUCUACGUCUAUGUUGACACUAACGAACCUCCAAUUGAUGAAAAUGACCCUACAGGAAUCACACUUUCAAGAACUGUCCACUGCGGACCCCCAGGUGUGAACUUCGCGAAAACAGUGGCCCUGUCCUUCCCUCAUCAGGCCGAUUUGAAAAGCAUCGAUCCUGAAGAGUUAACGGCCCAGAUGUGCCAGGACGGUGAUCCAGGAGAGAUGUGGGAAGAGUUUGAUGGGAAUGUAACAGUUGUAAACAAAGAUAGGGUGAUUCUCCUCGUUAAUCAUUUCACAUGGUUUAGAUUGAGAGGGAAAAGAAACAUUAAACAGCUCUUGUUGACUGCCUAUGGUGAUGUCUACGUCGGCAAAGGAAUACCAUACCAACUGCGAGUUUAUGUGUUGGACAACAAUGAAGCAGUUAAAAAGUCUGUAGAAGCUGAUGAGCAAACGUCGAUCAGGCUCGACGGUUUCAAGAACCUCACCUGGACAGGGGGCGACGUGAUCGUGAAGCUUUCAGAAAUUUCAAAUGGAUGCCAAGUACAUGGAGAAAAAAUCCAUGCUAUCUCCAAAACUCUGAUAAAGACUCACGCAUCCAACUGCGUUACCUUCACCCUUGGUAACCCAUCAACCCUACCUGCUGAUGAUGAACUGUACUGCUCAGUGGAAGCGUACCAGAAAUGUGAAGACGAAAAGAACAAGAAAAUUGAAAAAGUCUGUCUGUCGAUCUGUCCAGCUGCAAAGACACCAAGCUGUUGGAAUUUGGGGACGUCUCAUUGUAUGGGCUAUGCUGGUGAGCUGGACCCGUCGGCACGGCCAAUUGGAGUCAAAACUAGCAACACCAGGGAAAGUAUCCGGGAUUCCUGGUGAAAGAAAUUCCAUCAAGGAAUUGAUUGAGAUCAUUCAAGGGAUGAUGUCCUCAGUCAGAACAGAAGAGAAGAAAAUGUCCUUCAUGAAAG
rnacentral:misc_RNA from 1 species